rnacentral:rRNA from 1 species
UACGUAGGGUGCAAGCGUUGUCCGGAAUUAUUGGGCGUAAAGAGCUCGUAGGCGGUUUGUCGCGUCGAAUGUGAAAACCCGGGGCUCAACUCCGGGCCUGCAUUCGAUACGGGCAGACUAGAGUUCGGUAGGGGAGUCUGGAAUUCCUGGUGUAGCGGUGAAAUGCGUAGAUAUCUGGAGGAAUACCGGUGGCGAAGGCGGCAUCCUGGACCGAGAUUGACACUGAUGAGCGAAAGCUAGGGGAGCAAACGGG